rnacentral:rRNA from 1 species
CCUACGGGAGGCAGCAGUGGGGAAUAUUGCGCAAUGGGCGAAAGCCUGACGCAGCGACGCCGCGUGAGGGAUGAAGGUCUUCGGAUCGUAAACCUCUGUCAGCAGGGAAGAACGGUCACUGUGCUAAUCAGCAGUGAAUUGACGGUACCUUCAAAGGAAGCACCGGCUAACUCAGUGCCAGCAGCCGCGGUAAUACGGAGGGUGCGAGCGUUAAUCGGAAUUACUGGGCGUAACACGCUCGUAGGCGGUAUGUCAAGUCAAGGGUGAAAUCCCCGGGCUCAACGUGGGAACUGCCUUUGAAACUAGCAAACUAGAGUGUGUGAGAGGAUAGUGGAAUUCCAGGUGAAGGAGUGAAAUCCGUAGAUAUAUGGAGGAACAUCAGUGGCGAAGGCGACUAUCUGGCACAUAACUGACGCUGAGGAGCGAAAGCGUGGGUAGCAAACAGGAUUAGAUACCCGGGUAGUC